rnacentral:rRNA from 1 species
UACGGGGGGGCAAGCGUUGUUCGGAAUUACUGGGCGUAAAGGGCGCGUAGGCGGCCUGCUAAGUCACACGUGAAAUCCCUCGGCUCAACCGGGGAACUGCGUGUGAUACUGGCGGGCUUGAAUUCGGGAGAGGGAUGUGGAAUUCCAGGCGUAGCGGUGAAAUGCGUAGAUAAUCUGGAGGAACACCGGUGGCGAAGGCGGCAUCCUGGACCGGCAUUGACGCUGAGGCGCGAAAGCUAGGGAGCAACGGGG